rnacentral:rRNA from 1 species
ACACGUCUACAUUAGAUACCCCCUGUAGUCCCAGCCGUAAACUAUGCGCGUUAGGUGUAUCGGUGACCACGAGUCACCGAGGUGCCGAAGGGAAACCGUGAAACGUGCCGCCUGGGAAGUACGGUCGCAAGGCUGAAACUUAAAGGAAUUGGCGGGGAGCACCACAACGGGUGGAGCCUGCGGUUUAAUUGGACUCAACGCCGGGAAGCUCACCGGAUAAGACAGCGGAAUGAUUGCCGGGCUGAAGACUCUGCAUGACUAGCUG